rnacentral:rRNA from 1 species
GCAAGUCGAGCGCAGGAAGCAAGUUGAUCCCCUUCGGGGGUGACGCUUGUGGAAUGAGCGGCGGACGGGUGAGUAACACGUGGGCAACCUGCCUGUAAGACUGGGAUAACCCCGGGAAACCGGGGCUAAUACCGGAUAAUACUUUCUUUUGCAUAAAGGAAAGUUGAAAGGCGGCUUCGGCUGUCACUUACAGAUGGGCCCGCGGCGCAUUAGCUAGUUGGUGAGGUAACGGCUCACCAAGGCGACGAUGCGUAGCCGACCUGAGAGGGUGAUCGGCCACACUGGGACUGAGACACGGCCCAGACUCCUACGGGAGGCAGCAGUAGGGAAUCUUCCGCAAUGGACGAAAGUCUGACGGAGCAACGCCGCGUGAGUGAUGAAGGUUUUCGGAUCGUAAAACUCUGUUGUUAGGGAAGAACAAGUAGGAUAGUAACUGAUCGUACCUUGACGGUACCUAACCAGAAAGCCACGGCUAACUACGUGCCAGCAGCCGCGGUAAUACGUAGGUGGCAAGCGUUGUCCGGAAUUAUUGGGCGUAAAGCGCUCGCAGGCGGUCCUUUAAGUCUGAUGUGAAAUCUCGCGGCUCAACCGCGAACGGUCAUUGGAAACUGGAGGACUUGAGUACAGAAGAGGAGAGUGGAAUUCCACGUGUAGCGGUGAAAUGCGUAGAGAUGUGGAGGAACACCAGUGGCGAAGGCGACUCUCUGGUCUGUAACUGACGCUGAGGAGCGAAAGCGUGGGGAGCGAACAGGAUUAGAUACCCUGGUAGUCCACGCCGUAAACGA